rnacentral:misc_RNA from 1 species
AAGUCGUAACAAGGUUUCCGUAGGUGAACCUGCGGUUGGAUCAUUAGUGGUUUUUACGUAGCGCUGUUGUAGUGUUUCUGUGUGGGUUUGGGGUUGGUCUUUGAGUUUGUUGUUGUUUGUUUGUCUGUUUUUGUGCCUUGUGCAGUGCCUUGCAGUACAAACGAUCGACGGCAACACUCGGACCAGACCCAAGCCUUUACAGACAAUAGACGUCUUUGCUUGCUUUGAUGAAACCAAAUCAAAAACAACUUUUGACAACGGAUCUCUUGGCUCUC